rnacentral:rRNA from 1 species
AACUUUCAACAACGGAUCUCUUGGUUAUGGCAUCGAUGAAGAACGCAGCGAAAUGCGAUAAGUAAUGUGAAUUGCAGAAUUCAGUGAAUCAUCGAAUCUUUGAACGCACAUUGCGCCCGCCAGUAUUCUGGCGGGCAUGCCUGUCCGAGCGUCAUUU